rnacentral:lncRNA from 1 species
UCAUAACCAAACAUAAUUACAAAAUUUCAACUAGUUUCAUAAGGAAUAACGAAAGAUAUAAUUGACUGAAUACAUCAAAAUGGAUUUCUAUUCGGACAACCCUUUCUGAGCGCUGAUUGGCUAAAAUACGAACACGAGAUCACCUGGCAAUUGAUAGUGUGUAAGCCUUUCAAAUACCUUCGAAAGAACUGGCAGUAUUGAUAUGGGACGCAUAUUACUGAUCGAAUUAGAGUUAUUACUCUCAGAGGUAUUGGAGUGAUCCUAGCGACUUUCCAAGCAUCAGGAAAUGACGAUACAGCUACAAAGGAGUUGAUGAUGUGGGUUAGUGGACCAGCGAUGAGCUGGUAAAUAAUAAUAAAAGAAGAAGAAGAAAAGAAAAAAAAGAAAAGUAAUAAAAAGAAGUAAUAAAAUUCACAAACAUUUUUCCCUAUCCAUGUCUACCAAAAAAGGGGGUCUAAAUUUCACAAUUUCACCAAUCCCUGCUUAAUUUUGGGGGCCACCCGUUGCAAAUUUUCUGACCCUCUAUAACUGAGGUUCGGGCCAAUUUGCCCAAUGCACUAGCGAAAAUUUUAUGGUCAUUUUUGCCGGGGGACCCCCGCUUCUGGGCACCCAAACACCCUCCAGUUACGCCACUGGGAACCACUGGGUACAACCAUCUUUCACCUAUAAUAAAUCAUCUGACAAAUCAGAAAUAGUUGCGACCACCACGUGAUAAUUACUGGCCAAUCACAAAUAGUUGUGGCUACCAUGUGAUCAGUUUGACCUUUGGCACUUGUUACUCGUGGUAAAAAGCAUGGCGAACUUCUAAAGGUUAUGCAGUAAAAAUAUUUUGAUGUUUUAAACUAAAUUUUCUUUGGUAAAUCGAUAACAUAUGUUUGCAAAAACUGGACAAAGGCAUGGGUAAGUAUUAAGCUCAAAUUAUUUGCAUUUUUAGGUUGCUUUUUCAGUUAAUAACGAAUGUAAAAGUUUAUGUA